CACUUUAUGGUUGUCAUGCCCUGAUGGCAGCCCUGUCCCCAAGUGUCUCAGUGCCCCCAUGUCUCCCAGUGUCCCCAUGUCUCACUGUGUCUCCUAGUAUCCUACUGACAUGGGGACACACUGAGACAUGGGGACACGGGGAGAAAUGGGGACACUGGGAGACUAUAGGACUGGGUGACAUGGGGACACUGACACUGGGUGACUUGUGAGACUGAGACACUGGGAGACAGGG